AAUCAACAAUUAAAACAUCAAAAUACAAAUAGUAUCAACAAGCCAAUUGUGUAUUACAGUGUGCAGUGUAUUCUAUGUUUACUUGACUAGCCCCACUGGAAAAACAAAGGUCAAGAGUCGGGAUUUUCAUUCAUAUGAAACUCAAGAACCCUGGCUCUCCAAUUAAGAGAAGAUUGCCUACGAACCCUCUCACAAACAUAGAGUCCUUGCCAUUUAUCAAGCCUGGAGCAAAGAUUUAUGGUUACAAUCUGGAAUUAGCAGAUGUUCUCUGCUGACGUUGAGGGGUCCCUUACUCAGGACUUGCGGAAGAUGGUUACAACAUUGACUAGGUUGGUGCACUGUUUUCACCACAGGUCACCAAAAUACACCAAAUACACAUACAACUGAAUAACUACCAACUCCCUGAGGUGAGCUUGGACCUGUUUCCAGCCCACCUUCCUCUGCCCUACUUGGAGACACCUGAGACCUGGGGACUGCACACUGAUGAUCCCAUCCUGACAGGAUCCAGCCCAUCCAGAGACUUUCAAGGCUCCAGUACCAGUCCUGCCUCCAUCCAUGGGAAGAGGAGACACAUCAGAGAAUUGGACCUGUUUGCACCCACCUGAAGGGAAACUUGGUCCUGUACCAAGCAGGAGAGAAAGAGACCCCUUCUACAUACACUGGAACGAGGUAUUGGAAGAAGACAAUAUAAAAACACAUUCAACAACAGAAAAACCAAUAUGACACCACCAGAAUCUAGGGACUCUACACCAGCAAGAU